GAUGAACGUUGGCGGCGUGCUUAACACAUGCAAGUCGAACGGUGAAGCAGAGCUUGCUCUGUGGAUCAGUGGCGAACGGGUGAGUAACACGUGAGCAACCUGCCCCUGACUCUGGGAUAAGCGCUGGAAACGGCGUCUAAUACUGGAUAUGAGCUGCGACCGCAUGGUCAGCAGUUGGAAAGAUUUUUCGGUCUGGGAUAGGCUCACGGCCUAUCAGCUUGUUGGCGAGGUAAUGGCUCACCAAGGCGUCGACGGGUAGCCGGCCUGAGAGGGUGACCGGCCACACUGGGACUGAGACACGGCCCAGACUCCUACGGGAGGCAGCAGUGGGGAAUAUUGCACAAUGGGCGAAAGCCUGAUGCAGCAACGCCGCGUGAGGGAUGACGGCCUUCGGGUUGUAAACCUCUUUUAGCAGGGAAGAAGCGAAAGUGACGGUACCUGCAGAAAAAGCGCCGGCUAACUACGUG
rnacentral:rRNA from 1 species